GUGUCAGCCGCCGCGGUAACACGGGGGGAGCAAGCGUUGUUCGGAAUCACUGGGCGUAAAGGGUGUCUAGGCGGUUAGGUAAGUGAGAUGUGAAAUGCCCCGGCUCACCCGGGGACCUGCAUCUCAUACUGCCUAGCUUGAGUACGGGAGAGGAUGAGGGAAUUCCUGGUGUAGCGGUGAAAUGCGUAGAUAUCAGGAGGAACACCGGUGGCGAAAGCGCUCAUCUGGCCCGAUACUGACGCUGAAGCACGAAAGCUAGGGGAGCAAACGGGAUUAGAAACCCCCGUAGUCC
rnacentral:rRNA from 1 species